GUACUUGCUUCGGCAGUACAUAUACUAAAAUUGGAACGAUACAGAGAAGAUUAGCAUGGCUCGCGUACCGCCCUGGGAAAUUUGGCGUGACAUGUCCCAUAUAUUG
rnacentral:snRNA from 1 species